UUUUCUUUUAUUAAUCCGCCUUCAAAAUAUAAUUGGGUUUUAUGAUUGACAACAUCAACUCUUCCCGUCAUCCACCUAUCAUAUAGAGACCACGACCAGCUAGUGUAGCAAACACUGAUGUGUUUGACAGGAGCAAAGGUGAAUCACUCUCUUCAUGACUUUGAUUAAAAGGCCCCAGAUGGAAGAAAGAGCAACCGAUCUCACAAACACACACGAUGUCAGUCAAGAAAACAAUGAAAGUUCAAGAGCUUGACUGAGGCCUGACCAUCAGAUUUCUC